UACGGAGGGUGCAAGCGUUGUUCGGAAUUACUGGGCGUAAAGCGCGUGUAGGCGGUCGGGCAAGUCGGAGGUGAAAGCCUUCCGCUUAACGGAAGAAGUGCAUUCGAAACUACCCGGCUGGAGUACGGGAGAGGAGAGUGGAAUUCCCGGUGUAGAGGUGAAAUUCGUAGAUAUUGGGAAGAACACCAGUGGCGAAGGCGGCUCACUGGCCCGGUACUGACGCUCAUGUGCGAAAGCGUGGGGAGCAAACAGG
rnacentral:rRNA from 1 species